rnacentral:rRNA from 1 species
GAGAAGCGAGACGGAGACGUUAAGCGAACCCAAAAAAGUAAGUCUCAGUUCGGAUUGAAGGCUGAAAUUCGCCUUCAUGAAGCCGGAAUUGCUAGUAAUGGCAGGUCAGCAUACUGCCGUGAAUACGUUCCCGGGCCUUGUACACACCGCCCGUCACACCAUGAGAGUUGGGAAUACCCGAAGCCUGUGAGCUAACUGUAAGGAGGCAGCAGUCGAAGGUAGAAUCAAUGAUUGGGGUGAAGUCGUAACAAGGUAAC